AUUGAACGCUGGCGGCAUGCUUUACACAUGCAAGUCGAACGGUAACAGGCCGCAAGGUGCUGACGAGUGGCGCACGGGUGAGUAAUGCAUCGGGACGUGCCCAGUCGUGGGGGAUAACUACUCGAAAGAGUAGCUAAUACCGCAUACGAUCUAUGGAUGAAAGCGGGGGACCGUAAGGCCUCGCGCGAUUGGAGCGGCCGAUGUCAGAUUAGGUAGUUGGUGGGGUAAAGGCUCACCAAGCCAACGAUCUGUAGCUGGUCUGAGAGGACGACCAGCCACACUGGGACUGAGACACGGCCCAGACUCCUACGGGAGGCAGCAGUGGGGAAUUUUGGACAAUGGGCGCAAGCCUGAUCCAGCAAUGCCGCGUGCAGGAAGAAGGCCUUCGGGUUGUAAACUGCUUUUGUACGGAACGAAACGGCUCUGGUUAAUACCCGGGGCUAAUGACGGUACCGGAAGAAUAAGCACCGGCUAACUACGUG
rnacentral:rRNA from 1 species